rnacentral:tRNA from 1 species
UAGCUAAGCUGUUAAAGAAUCUGCCUUUAAGGCAGGAGACCCUGGUUCAAUUCCUGG